UGACCUCAAAUCAGGUAGGACUACCCGCUGAACUUAAGCAUAUCAAUAAGCGGAGGAAAAGAAACUAACAAGGAUUCCCCUAGUAACUGCGAGUGAAGCGGGAAAAGCUCAAAUUUAAAAUCUGGCAGUCUUUGGCUGUCCGAGUUGUAAUCUAGAGAAGCAUUAUCCGCGCUGGACCGUGUACAAGUCUCCUGGAAUGGAGCGUCAUAGAGGGUGAGAAUCCCGUCUUUGACACGGACUGCCAGGGCUUUGUGAUGUGCUCUCAAAGAGUCGAGUUGUUUGGGAAUGCAGCUCAAAAUGGGUGGUAAAUUCCAUCUAAAGCUAAAUAUUGGCGAGAGACCGAUAGCGAACAAGUACCGUGAGGGAAAGAUGAAAAGAACUUUGGAAAGAGAGUUAAACAGUACGUGAAAUUGCUGAAAGGGAAACGCUUGAAGUCAGUCGCGUUGUCCAGGGAUCAAUCUUGCUUUUGCUUGGUGUACUUUCUGGUUAACGGGUCAGCAUCAAUUUUGACUAUUGGAAAAAGAUCAGGGGAAUGUGGCAUCUUUGGAUGUGUUAUAGCCCUUGGUUGCAUACAAUAGUUAGGAUUGAGGAACUCAGCACGCCGCAAGGCCGAGUUUGCUACGUACGUGCUUAGGA
rnacentral:rRNA from 2 species